UUCCUUCGGGAGCAAUUAAAGUGGCGCACGGGUGAGUAACGCGUAGACAAUCUGCCCUUCAGUCUGGGACAACUUUUCGAAAGGAGAGCUAAUACCGGAUAACAAUGCAUGACACAAGUUAUAUAUUUGAAAGCUUUAUGUGCUGAAGGAGGGGUCUGCGUCCCAUUAGCUAGUUGGUAAGGUAAAGGCUUACCAAGGCAACGAUGGGUAGCGGGUUUGAGAGGACGAUCCGCCACACUGGAACUGAGACACGGUCCAGACUCCUACGGGAGGCAGCAGUGGGGAAUAUUGCACAAUGGAGGAAACUCUGAUGCAGCAAUGUCGCGUGAGUGAAGAAGGCCCUUGGGUCGUAAAGCUCUUUUAUGGGGGAAGAUGAUGACGGUACCCCAAGAAUAAGCACCGGCUAACUAUGUGCCAGCAGCCGCGGUAAUACAUAGGGUGCGAGCGUUGUUCGGAAUUACUGGGCGUAAAGGGCGCGCAGGCGGAAUAGUAAGUCGGAGGUGAAAGCCCGGGGCUCAACCCCGGAGGGUCUUUCGAAACUACUAAUCUAGAGAGGGUCAGGGGCCGGCAGAAUUCCUGGUGUAGAGGUGAAAUUCGUAGAUAUCAGGAGGAAUACCGGUGGCGAAGGCGGCCGGCUGGGGCCACUCUGACGCUGAGGCGCGAAAGCGUGGGGAGCAAACAGGAUUAGAUACCCUGGUAGUCCACGCCGUAAACGAUGAGCACUGGACGUCCGGAGGGUUCGACCCUUCUGGGUGUCUCAGCUAACGCAUUAAGUGCUCCGCCUGGGGAGUA
rnacentral:rRNA from 1 species